GAUGAACGCUGGCGGCGUGCCUAAUACAUGCAAGUCGAGCGAACAGACGAGGAGCUUGCUCCUCUGACGUUAGCGGCGGACGGGUGAGUAACACGUGGAUAACCUACCUAUAAGACUGGGAUAACUUCGGGAACCGGGCGCAAAACCGGGAGAAUAAUUGAACCGGCAUGGUUCAUUAUGGAAGAAUGGUUUUGUGGUAAUUUAUCGUUGUAUCGGCCCGCAUUUGCUAGUUGGUAAGGUAACGGCUUACCAAGGCAACGAUGCGUAGCCGACCUGAGAGGGUGAUCGGCCACACUGGAACUGAGACACGGUCCAGACUCCUACGGGAGGCAGCAGUAGGGAAUCUUCCGCAAUGGGCGAAAGCCUGACGGAGCAACGCCGCGUGAGUGAUGAAGGUCUUCGGAUCGUAAAACUCUGUUAUUAGGGAAGAACAAAUGUGUAAGUAACUAUGCACGUCUUGACGGUACCUAAUCAGAAAGCCACGGCUAACUACGUG
rnacentral:rRNA from 1 species